ACGGGUGAGUAAUGUCUGGGGAUCUGCCCGAUAGAGGGGGAUAACCACUGGAAACGGUGGCUAAUACCGCAUAACGUCGCAAGACCAAAGAGGGGGACCUUCGGGCCUCUCACUAUCGGAUGAACCCAGAUGGGAUUAGCUAGUAGGCGGGGUAACGGCCCACCUAGGCGACGAUCCCUAGCUGGUCUGAGAGGAUGACCAGCCACACUGGAACUGAGACACGGUCCAGACUCCUACGGGAGGCAGCAGUGGGGAAUAUUGCACAAUGGGCGCAAGCCUGAUGCAGCCAUGCCGCGUGUAUGAAGAAGGCCUUCGGGUUGUAAAGUACUUUCAGCGGGGAGGAAGGCGAUGUGGCUAAUAACCGCAUUGAUUGACGUUACCCGCAGAAGAAGCACCGGCUAACUCCGUGCCAGCAGCCGCGGUAAUACGGAGGGUGCAAGCGUUAAUCGGAAUUACUGGGCGUAAAGCGCACGCAGGCGGUCUGUUAAGUCAGAUGUGAAAUCCCCGGGCUUAACCUGGGAACUGCAUUUGAAACUGGCAGGCUUGAGUCUCGUAGAGGGGGGUAGAAUUCCAGGU
rnacentral:rRNA from 1 species